rnacentral:lncRNA from 12 species
CCAGGGAGAGAGAGAAUAGACCUGAGGAAGCCAGCCCUCCCCCAGAGGGAGGCACCCACACGGGACAUGGGCUUUCGAGUCUGAAGGCCUCGCUGCAAAUAAAAACUGCUGAGAGAAUGUUUUUGUGGCUUCAAAUAACUGUGAUGUGUGAUAAUUUUCUGUGUUAUUUAGGGCUGUGAUAGAAAAGCUAUAAAUAACUUGAAGUGUGAGGUUUGUAAGCCAUGAUGGGGCCCAGUCCCAGCGUAGGUGACGCUAAGGACACGUUCCAGGGUCUGAGAAGGAGGCAGGGAAAGAAGGAUGGCAGAGGUCCACACGUCCCACUGCACAGAGGAGGCUGCUGUCGCCGUCACAGAUGAGGCUCAGAGAGGGUGUCUCAUGUCCACGGUGGCUCAGUGUGGAGCAGGAACCCCUGCAGGGCCAUCUCUCUGUCACCUUGAGAAAGGAUGCCUGCCUCAGGGCACAGGGGAUAUUAUGUCACCUGGGCCCGUUUCAGUUCUUACUGAGGGUCUCAGAAAGAAUCCAGCCAUCAAGAGGUGACUGGGGCAGGCCUUUUGGAUGGGGCGUCCUGGCAUGUGCGUGUUUUGGAGCAAGUCCUCGGGCUCAUUCAUUCAAUCGUUCUGUGCAUCAGGACAAAAGGGCUGCUGUGGGGAUCCACAGGGCUCACCUGGCACAGAGCUGGUGCUCAAGACACCCACCUGCGCUGACAGCUCACGGCUCACUGUCCUGCUGCCUCCUCUUCUCGGCCUGUCCUGCGAUGGUCCCCGGCAAACAACAGCACCUGAGCCGCUGUUUCCAGAAGGUGCCUUCCAUCCUCCCACCAACAGCUCGGGCGGCUCCAAAGUCACAGGGAAGGGCCCCCCACCAUCCAACCACUGACAUAGACUCCAGAGAAAACAGCACUGCCGCUUGUUUCUUGUCUUCGACCAGGGCUUUGACCAUUGCGAUCACAUCCCCAUUGUGCCCCAGAGAGGCAGGUCCGAGGACCCGGAGCACCGCGGAGGUGACAGGGAAGGCAGAGCUGACGCGUGCGCGUGCGGGGAAUGAUUGUGGCAGCGCUGUGCCAAGCCAAGGCGUGUUCCCUGUGUCGUGCCCACGGCAGGCUGACGGAAAGAACGCGGACCGCACUCCUCGGCAGAGAGAACAGAGGCAGGGAAAAGAAAAGGAAAAGGAUCACAUCAGUCUUGUUUACAAAAACAUCCAUAUUAUCUACAACAACUCCUGCUCAUAG